CCCCUCUCGGGAUCGUACCUGGAGAGUUUCCAGUACUCUACUAGUCUCGGCUACAGGAGGGAGAAUCAGGCAGAGGCAUACCCAUUCCAUUCUUAGCUUGUGCAGUGGCCACAGAGUAGAAGGCAAUCUGCUACAAGU